rnacentral:rRNA from 1 species
CCCUUAGAUGUUCUGGGCUGCACGCGUGCUACACUGAUAUUGCCAAUAUGUCAUUCUUAUCCGAAAUGGAUUGGGUAAUCAAGUAAUGAAAUUUCAUGCUUGGAAUCGGUAAUUGCAAUUUUAUCGUGAACGAGGAAUUCCUAGUAAGCACUAGUCAUCAGCUAAUGUUGAUUAUGUCCCUGCCCUUUGUACACACCGCCCGUCGCUACUACUGAUUGGGUGUUCAAGUGAGAUGCUUAGACCCUUGUUGCAUGGUUCAUUAUUGUGCUCCGAGAGGAAAAAGUUUCAAGCUUGAGUGUCUAGAGGAAGUAAAAGUCGUAACA